AUAAUACUCCCUCCGUUCGGAAUUACUUGUCGUAGAAUGGAUGUAUCUAGAACUAAAAUACGUCUAGAUACAUCCAUUCUACGACAAGUAAUUCCGAACGGAGGGAGUAUUAU
rfam:Triticum urartu cultivar G1812 contig775406, whole genome shotgun sequence.